rnacentral:rRNA from 2 species
GAAACGACUGCUAAGACUGGAUAGGAGACAAGAAGGCAUCUUCUUGUUUUUAAAAGACCUAGCAAUAGGUAUGCUUAGGGAGGAGCUUGCGUCACAUUAGUUAGUUGGUGGGGUAAAGGCCUACCAAGACUAUGAUGUGUAGCCGGGCUGAGAGGUUGAACGGCCACAUUGGGACCGAGACACGGCCCAAACUCCUACGGGAGGCAGCAGUAGGGAAUUUUCGGCAAUGGAGGAAACUCUGACCGAGCAACGCCGCGUGAACGAUGAAGUAUUUCGGUACGUAAAGUUCUUUUAUUAGGGAAGAAUAAAUGAUGGAAAAAUCAUUCUGACGGUACCUAAUGAAUAAGCCCCGGCUAACUAUGUGCCAGCAGCCGCGGUAAUACAUAGGGGGCAAGCGUUAUCCGGAAUUAUUGGGCGUAAAGGGUGCGUAGGCGGUUAAAUAAGUUUAUGGUCUAAGUGCAAUGCUCAACAUUGUGAUGCUAUAAAAACUGUUUAGCUAGAGUAAGAUAGAGGCAAGUGGAAUUCCAUGUGUAGUGGUAAAAUGCGUAAAUAUAUGGAGGAACACCAGUAGCGAAGGCGGCUUGCUGGGUCUUUACUGACGCUGAGGCACGAAAGCGUGGGGAGCAAACAGGAUUAGAUACCCUGGUAGUCCACGCCGUAAACGAUGAGUACUAAACGUUGGGUAAAACCAGUGUUGAAGUUAACACAUUAAGUACUCCGCCUGAGUAGUACGUACGCAAGUAUGAAACUUAAAGGAAUUGACGGGACUCCGCACAAGCGGUGGAUCAUGUUGUUUAAUUCGAAGGUACCCGAAAAACCUCACCAGGUCUUGACAUGCUUCUGCAAAGCUGUAGAAACACAGUGGAGGUUAUCAGUUGCACAGGUGGUGCAUGGUCGUCGUCAGCUCGUGUCGUGAGAUGUUGGGUUAAGUCCCGCAACGAGCGCAACCCUUAUUGUUAGUUACCAGCACGUAAUGGUGGGGACUUUAGCAAGACUGCCAGUGAUAAAUUGGAGGAAGGUGGGGACGACGUCAAAUCAUCAUGCCCCUUAUGACCUGGGCUACAAACGUGAUACAAUGGCUGUUGCAAAGGGUAGCUGAAGCGCAAGUUUUUGGCGAAUCUCAAAAAAACAGUCUCAGUUCGGAUUGAAGUCUGCAACUCGACUUCAUGAAGUUGGAAUCGCUAGUAAUCGCGAAUCAGCAUGUCGCGGUGAAUACGUUCACGGGGUUUGUACACACCGCCCGUCA